rnacentral:rRNA from 1 species
UACGAAGGGUGCAAACGUUGCUCGGAAUUAUUGGGCGUAAAGGGCGCGUAGGCGGCAUGGUAAGUCAAAGGUGAAAUCCCUCGGCUCAACUGAGGAAUUGCCUUUGAAACUGCCAAGCUUGAGGCCGGGAGGGGGUAGCGGAAUUCCCAGUGUAGCGGUGAAAUGCGUAGAUACUGGGAGGAACACCGGUGGCGAAGGCGGCUACCUGGACCGGAUCUGACGCUGAUGCGCGAAAGCGUGGGGAGCAAACAGG